rnacentral:lncRNA from 1 species
GUUUUCUCUUCACUCAGUUGAUUUUUUUUUCUUUGUGCUGUGCAGAACCAUUUAAACUUGAUGUAAUACCAUUUGUCUAUUUUGUUUGUUUGUUUCCUGUGCUUUUGUGGUCUUAUCCAAAAAAUCCUUGCCCAGACUAAUAUCAUUAAAUGCUUCCUCUAUUUUUCAGAUGAAGAAAACUCCAGGAUCUAAAAUUGCUAUAAUCUUCUAAUAGUGUCAUAGUUCAAGGACUUACAGGUAUCGUACCUGGUACAUGUUCAGUACAGCAUAAGGCCCUAUAAACACUUCAAUAGGCUUCAAGACUGUAAGAAAGAAGAGCAAAUUCUGUAACAUCAACAGACACACAAUCCUUUCAAGAAUAAGGAAAAAUGCUUCAAAUGAAAUCCCACUUUCUUCUUCACCUAGGAAGACUGCACAGAUUAAGGACAAAAUCUAGAAGACCUUGGAAUUACUGCCAGCUUCUUUACCAUUUCUGCAUUUCCAACAUCCUCUGAAUGUGAAAAAGAGAAAUAGAAUCAUCGAUUCCAUCAAAUACUUUGGUAAUAUCCAUGGUAAAUUUACUUUGAAAAGUUAAGUUUUCUAUUUUAAAAGCAGCCCCUCCUUUGGACC